AAAAAUUUCAACCUAAAACCCCCAAAUAUGGUCAAAACCCACCAACCAUGGUCUGAGGAACCUCAGAAAGAUCUAGAACCGCCAUUUUAAGAGGUAGAAGAACCAAACCAAGUCUGAAUUAAGGUAAUUAUGGACCUCAAGAACCCAAUUUUGGGUCAAAAUCCCUAAAUUUUGGUCAAAACCACCAACCAUGGUCUGAGGAACCUCAGGAACAUCUAGAGCCGCCAUUUUAAGAGAUAGAAGAACCAAACCAAGGCCGACUCAAGGUAAUUACGGACCUCAAAACCCAACUUCUGACCCCGAACCCCCCCACAUCCUCCGUCCCCCCCUGACCCAGCAGCGGCUGCCGCUCCCCGACGCGCAGCUGGUGGUGGAACUGCUUGCUAUCAUCCUGCGGCGGGCGUCGAACUCGUGCGCCGCCAUGUAGGGGAUCUCCAGCAGCAUGGCGGCCACCAGGUAGACGCACUCGAGGAGCUCCAGGUUGACGUGCAUGUGGAAGGGCACCUGGCGGCGCUUCUCCACCUUCUCCUGCUCGGCGUUGCGCUCCUGCAGGCUGCGCAGGAGCAGCCCCUGGCCCAGCAGCUCCUUGGCGCGGCCGGAGCUCUGGAUGUCCAGCAGCGCGUUGUGCGCGUCCUUGAUCAGCCCCUGCCGGAAGGCGCAGAUGCCCAGCUGGACCAUGGUGCGGUUGUAGAGGAUCUGCGGGAAGGUUUCGGGGAGAAUUCCGGUGAUUUUGGGCAAUUUCCGGUGAUUUUGGGCAAUUUCCGGUGAUUUUAUGGGGUUUUGAGGGGGAUUUUUGGGACAUUUUGGGGGGAUUUGGGGUAAGAAAUGGGGAUUUGAGGUGCCCACGUGAGUCUCAGGUGAGUCCCAAGUGAGUCUCACCUGGACAGGUGUGGCCAGGUAAAGAAAUUUGGGGCAUUUUGGGCGAUUUCAGGUGAUUUUAGGUGAUUUUAAGGGGU
rnacentral:lncRNA from 1 species